GACGAACGCUGGCGGCGUGCCUAAUACAUGCAAGUCGAACGCAGUGGGGACAGGUUAGUAACACGUGGGUAACCUCCCAUCAGAGGGGAUAACCCUUGGAAACAGGUGCUAAACCGAUACUGAUGGAUGGACCCGCGGUGCAUUAGCUAGUGGGUGUGGUAACGGCUCACCAAGGCCACGAUGCAUAGCCGACCUGAGAGGUGGAUCGGCCACACUGGGACUGAGAAACGGCCCAGACUCCUACGGGAGGCAGCAGUAGGGAAUCUUCGGCAAUGGACGAAAGUCUGACCGAGCAACGCCGCGUGAGUGAAGAAGGUUUUCGGAUCGUAAAACUCUGUUGUUAGAGAAGCGGUAUCCAACCAGAAAGCAACGGCUAACUACGUGCCAGCAGCCGCGGUAAUUC
rnacentral:rRNA from 1 species